AGAAAAAUACAACAUUUAUUGACCUUUUGUGGAAAAACGGAAGGAGAAAUAACUUUUUUUCUGAAAGACCCUCCAAAUAAGCAAAUGGUGCCUCCGAAAAUUCCACAAAAAUUAAAUGGAAAAUUAAAAACUGGAUAUCUUUCGAAUAAAACUAAAGAUAGUAUUAUAUAGUCUUUCGAAAUUAGUUUCAAAAAAUUUGCCAAAAGAAUCCGACAGUAAGAUUCAGUAUUAUGGGAAUGAAAUUCUACAAAACCAGCUCAAGGCACUACAAAUACAAUUGGAACAGCAGACACAGCUUUCUAAAGAACAAAGUGCAGCAUUUCUUGAGGAUCGUAGAAUUAAACAGGAAGAAUUCGAUUUUCAAAGAAAGAAUGAUUCCAAAAAAAUUAACGAUCUUAUCUUGAAAGUAAAUAAAUCUGAAGAAUUAAUUUGUUCUACUACUAAAGAUUUCAUUGCUUUGAGACAAAAUUUUCGAUCGAAAGAAAAAAAUUGGAUGAGUGAGAAAGAUCGGCUGUUACAACAAUUGGACAGCUGUAAACAACAAUAUGACAUUAAAUAUCAAAUUAAAAAUUCAUAUGUUGUUCCUUCGGGAUCUGAUCCAGAUGUUGAAGCGAAAUUAAAUAAAGAAAUUGAGGUUAAAUAUUCCUAUAAUUUGUAGGAAAUGACAAACCAAUGUGAGCAAGCCAAUAAACUUGCUGCAAUGUACAGAGCGCAGGUGAUUUCUUUGGAAGAUCAGGUUUCAGUUUUUAAAGAAGAAACUGAUAUGACAAAAAGCCUUUUUCAAUCAAAAACUGAAAACGUUCAGAAGAAAUUGAAAAUAAUGACAUCAAGAUAUCAUGAACUUGAGAAAAGAAGAAACUUAGAAGUCGAAGGUUUUCAAAAU